rnacentral:rRNA from 1 species
UGAGGAAUAUUGGUCAAUGGGCGAGAGCCUGAACCAGCCAAGUAGCGUGAAGGAUGAAGGUUCUAUGGAUUGUAAACUUCUUUUAUAAGGGAAUAAACGACAUUACGUGUAGUGUUUUGCAUGUACCUUAUGAAUAAGCAUCGGCUAACUCCGUGCCAGCAGCCGCGGUAAUACGGAGGAUGCGAGCGUUAUCCGGAUUUAUUGGGUUUAAAGGGAGCGUAGACGGGAUGUUAAGUCAGCUGUGAAAGUUUGGGGCUCAACCUUAAAAUUGCAGUUGAAACUGGCGUUCUUGAGUGCGGUAGAGGCAGGCGGAAUUCGUGGUGUAGCGGUGAAAUGCUUAGAUAUCACGAAGAACUCCGAUUGCGAAGGCAGCUUGCUGGAGCGUAACUGACGUUGAUGCUCGAAAGUGUGGGUAUCAAAC